GGGGAUGCGUGGUUUCGACAGGGCAGGCAGACGGACCACCGCGAGCCGAGGAACGCCGUUCCUCCUCGUUAAUCCGAACGGCAGGCAGACAACUGCCAACACUUCUUACGCUCUCGCUGCCUAGUCAGUGAGACGUCCUCCCGGUCUCCGCUCCGCGGGCCGGGAAGGGCG
rnacentral:tmRNA from 1 species